rfam:Gossypium raimondii Chr05_contig_619, whole genome shotgun sequence.
AAUCCAUGCAUCAGACAUUUCAAAAUUAACUCCUUAAAUCGUUCCCAAGCUUCAUAUAGCAUUUCAUCAUCUAAUUUUUGAAAAAAAUUGAUGUCAUUUCUAAACUU